AGUGAACGCUGGCGGUAGGCCUAACACAUGCAAGUCGAACGGCAGCACAGUAAGAGCCUGCUCUUACGGGUGGCGAGUGGCGGACGGGUGAGGAAUACAUCGGAAUCUACUUUUUCGUGGGGGAUAACGUAGGGAAACUUACGCUAAUACCGCAUACGACCUACGGGUGAAAGCAGGGGAUCUUCGGACCUUGCGCGAUUGAAUUAGCCGAUGUCGGAUUAGCUAGUUGGCGGGGUAAAGGCCCACCAAGGCGACGAUCCGUAGCUGGUCUGAGAGGAUGAUCAGCCACACUGGAACUGAGACACGGUCCAGACUCCUACGGGAGGCAGCAGUGGGGAAUAUUGGACAAUGGGCGAAAGCCUGAUCCAGCCAUACCGCGUGGGUGAAGAAGGCCUUCGGGUUGUAAAGCCCUUUUGUUGGGAAAGAAAAGCAGCAGGUUAAUACCCCGCUGUUCUGACGGUACCCAAAGAAUAAGCACCGGCUAACUUCGUG
rnacentral:rRNA from 1 species